UACGAGGGGGGCUAGUGUUGUUCGGAAUCACUGGGCGUAAAGGGAGCGUAGGCGGGCGUUUAAGUUAGGUGUUUAAUCCCGGGGCCCAACCCCGGACCGGCACCUAAAACUGGACGUCUUGAAUAGUGGAGAGGUCGGUGGAAUUGGAGGUGUAGCGGUGGAAUGCGUAGAUAUCGCUUGGAACGCCAACGGUGAAAACAGGUUGCUGGGGUUGUGCCGACGCUGAGACACGAAAGCCAGGGGAGCGAACGGG
rnacentral:rRNA from 1 species